rnacentral:rRNA from 1 species
AAUGAACGUUGGCGGCGUGGAUUAGGCAUGCAAGUCGCGCGAGAAACUAACUAGCUUGCUAGGAAGUGGACAGCGGCGGAAGGGAGAGUAACGUGUGGUUACUUGCCCUCGAGACCGGGAUAGUGCUGGGAAACUGGCAGUAAUACCGGAUAACAUCUUCGGAUCAAAUGGUGUGAUUCCGCUCGAGGAUAGGACCGCAUACUAUUAGCUUGUUGGUGAGGUAACGGCUCACCAAGGCUGCGAUGGUUACCGGGUGUGAGAGCAUGGCCCGGCUCACUGGGACUGAGACACUGCCCAGACACCUACGGGUGGCUGCAGUCGAGAAUCUUCGGCAAUGGACGAAAGUCUGACCGAGCGACGCCGCGUGCGGGAUGAAGGCCCUCGGGUUGUAAACCGCUGUCAGUUAGGAGGAAAUGCAUGAGGGUUCUCUCUCAUGUUUGACCGAUUUUCAGAGGAAGGACGGGCUAAGUUCG